ACUUUGUAUCGUAAGACAAAAACAAUUUUCUAUGAAAAAUAAAAAAUAUAAACACUCAGACACAGAGUGUAGGCAUUUGUGCAGCGCACCUGCUGGAGUGCAUUGGUAAUAACUUUAUUGCAAAAAUACAAGUUCACUCACCCUUUACAAUUGAGUCCCAAAUGGAAAACCUUGAAAUGCCAUUUCACUUUGAGAAAUCCUCCUCCCACCAGCUACAACUCGCAUUCAAAGGCUGUUAACUGUACAGACAUUAAUAAGUAAAGAUUCAACAAUUCAGCAGGAGAUCAUUUUCAUCCUCAGUAUAUAGGAAAAAAAAGAAAAUAUCUGAUUUUGUCCCAGUCUGACUCUUUGCUGGUAGUUCAGGAGAGAGCAUUUUGCAUAGCAUACUCAUACAUAACCGUUGCUACAUUCUCAAAAAUCCUUUAAAUGAAAGGAAAGAUGAAUAAAUGACCAAAAAAACAAAAACAUAUCUUUGUGUUAGAGCCAAUCUUUGGUUAAGACAAAGUUAAAUAAGAUCUAGAUCUCUUUAAGUUAUAUCUUUUAUGAUCAUUUUAAUUUCAGUCACUUCAAAGGCUUUUAAUAAAAAAUAUACAUAUCACAGCACAAUAUGAUUAGAAUGAAAAGUUUAAUACUGCAUUGAUCAUAUGAUAUUGUGAUACGAAACAACUGUUGAUCAAUAUCGGAUUUCCGUUAAUCACAAAUCGUAUUACGUUUAUUUGAAUAACAGUAUGAAAGCAUUCCUUGUUCAAGGCCCCAUAUACGUAAUACUGUCCAAAUUCCAGGCUAAUGAAGCUUUGCAUAAGCUCCAUCUAUGCUAUCAGAGCCAAACAUUCUUCAGCUGUGCUGAUUAAAGUAAAAUCUAGAAACUGACAUUGAUCAUAUGAUAUCGAAUGGGAUGAGACCCCUCAACUAUUACAGGCCUGAAGAUCCAUCACAUGCCAGACUCAUAGCUGUGGUUUCAGUGUCACUGCAAGUUAAAAAAAAAAAAAAAGUAUCGAAUCAAGUAAAAUAAACAAUAAAAAGGAAGCUUAACUUGGCAUAUCUCCCUCUAUAAACGGGAGAACUGUCAAUGGAAUUAAAAUAGCAGUUUUUCUCCAGCUUUACACUUCUGAAGUGUACUAUACUUGUCUUAAUGCAGAUAAUAAUUAUUACCACUAGAAUUG
rnacentral:lncRNA from 1 species